rnacentral:rRNA from 1 species
CCUACGGGCGGCAUCAGUGAGGAAUAUUGGUCAAUGGACGAGAGUCUGAACCAGCCAAGUAGCGUGAAGGAUGACUGCCCUAUGGGUUGUAAACUUCUUUUAUAUGGGAAUAAAAUGUUCCACGUGUGGGAUUUGGUAUGUACCAUAUGAAUAAGGAUCGGCUAACGCCGUGCCAGCAGCCGCGGUAAUACGGAGGGUCCGAGCGUUAUCCGGAUUUAUUGGGUUUAAGGGGGGCGUAGGUGGAUUGUUAAGUAAGUUGUGAAAGUUUGCGGCUCAAACGUAAAAUUGCAGUUGAAACUGGCAGUCUUGAGUACAGUAGAGGUGGGCGGAAUUCGUGGUGUAGCGGUGAAAUGCUUCGAUAUCACGAAGAACUCCGAUUGCGAAGGCAGUUCACUGGACUGCAACUGACACUGAGGCUCGAAAGUGUGGGUAUCAAACAGGAUUAGAUACCCCGGUAGUC